GACGAACGCUGGCGGCGUGCUUAACACAUGCAAGUCGAACGAUGAACCUCGAAAUGACAUCUUCGGAAGGAUUUUCGAGAGGAUUAGUGGCGAACGGGUGAGUAACGCGUGAGCAACCUGCCUUAGACAAGGGGAUAGCCUCGGGAAACCGUGAUUAAUACCCUAUGAGACUCCGCCUACGAGUGUAGAAGAAGUUAAAGCGAUAGCGGUCUAAGAUGGGCUCGCGUCUGAUUAGCUAGUUGGUGAGAUA
rnacentral:rRNA from 1 species